rnacentral:rRNA from 1 species
UAGGUUUGACAUGGACGUGGUACCCGGGGCGAAAGCUUUGGGGACCCGCAAGGGAGCGUUCACAGGUGCUGCAUGGCUGUCGUCAGCUCGUGUCGUGAGAUGUUCGGUUAAGUCCGGCAACGAGCGCAACCCUCGCCUCCAGUUACCAGCGAGUAAAGUCGGGGACUCUGGAGGGACUAACCCAUUUGGGUGGGAAGGUGGGGAUGACGUCAAGUCAGUAUGGCCCUUACAUCUAGGGCUGCACACGUGCUACAAUGCCUGGUACAAAAGGAUCCAAGACCGCGAGGUGGAGGAAAUCCCCAAAGCCAGGCCCAGUUCAGAUUGAAGUCUGCAACUCGACUUCAUGAAGCCGGAAUCGCUAGUAAUGGAGAUCAGCAC